ACAGUCGUCCAGCUAUUUAUAACAGGGUAUCAGAAACCCUGAUAGAUCCUCCAUCGAAGGACAACAAAUAUUAAACUGAUUUGUGGAAUUAGACGGAGUGCUAGGAGCCUGCUCCACCUCUGUCGCGGCUUUUCCUGGUAUUGCAGUACCGCCAGGAUUUCGGCCCAACUAA
rfam:Drosophila virilis strain TSC#15010-1051.87 Ctg01_17286, whole genome shotgun sequence.